ACUCCUACGGGAGGCAGCAGUGGGGAAUAUUGGACAAUGGGCGAAAGCCUGAUCCAGCCAUGCCGCGUGUGUGAAGAAGGUCUUCGGAUUGUAAAGCACUUUAAGUUGGGAGGAAGGGCAGUUACCUAAUACGUAAUUGUUUUGACGUUACCGACAGAAUAAGCACCGGCUAACUCUGUGCCAGCAGCCGCGGUAAUACAGAGGGUGCAAGCGUUAAUCGGAAUUACUGGGCGUAAAGCGCGCGUAGGUGGUUUGUUAAGUUGGAUGUGAAAUCCCCCGGGCUCAACCUGGGAACUGCAUUCAAAACUGACUGACUAGAGUAUGGUAGAGGGUGGUGGAAUUUCCUGUGUAGCGGUGAAAUGCGUAGAUAUAGGAAGGAACACCAGUGGCGAAGGCGACCACCUGGACUAAUACUGACACUGAGGUGCGAAAGCGUGGGAGCAAACAGGAUUAGAUACCCUGGUAGCGACUGA
rnacentral:rRNA from 1 species